rnacentral:lncRNA from 1 species
GAGAAACAGCAGCAAAAUCCCAAAUGCUCAAACACCAAGAAGCUAUGGCAGCACUGGGCUGCGGAACUGCCGGUACCAUGGACAGCGGGCGGCUCCGGGAGCCCCUUCCCAGGCAGCCGCUGGAGAGGAGGAAACCUGUAGGCACGAAGUGCUCAAGUCUCUUAACUUUUCUCUUUAUAGCAGUUUGUCAACAGGAGCUGUGGGAGAGGAACUGAGUUGUAAAAGCAAUGUUUUGCAGCCCCUCGCUGGGAGUGCAGCCCACUGCGGUGAAUGGAUGGGGUGCUGAUGGCCAGUGUUGGGAGCUAAGCGCUUGGAUGAGGAAGAGUCCUUUAUUUGCUUCAUGAAAGAUUAACCCCCCAAAUCCCCAGUCCCCAGUGAAAUCCUGAGGAAGUUCUCAUGGAAGGGUGUUUUGUUGUCCACUUGUUUUCCAUCUGGGACAGAGAAUGGCACAUCGUUCCUAGGUUAGUACUCCCAGCUCACAUACAAUGAAGUAAGAAGAGUAAGUUGUCCAUUUUGCG